UACGGGGGGGGCAAGCGUUGUUCGGAAUUACUGGGCGUAAAGGGCUCGUAGGCGGCCAACUAAGUCAGACGUGAAAUCCCUCGGCUUAACCGGGGAACUGCGUCUGAUACUGGAUGGCUUGAGUUUGGGAGAGGGAUGCGGAAUUCCAGGUGUAGCGGUGAAAUGCGUAGAUAUCUGGAGGAACACCGGUGGCGAAGGCGGGUCUCUGGGCAAUUCCUGACGCUGAGGCGCGAAAGCGUGGGGAGCAAACGGG
rnacentral:rRNA from 1 species